rnacentral:rRNA from 1 species
CGGAGGAAAAGAAACUAACAAGGAUUCCCCUAGUAACUGCGAGUGAAGCGGGAAAAGCUCAAAUUUAAAAUCUGGCGGUCUCUGAUCGUCCGAGUUGUAGUCUGGAGAAGCGUUUUCCGCGUUGGACCGUGUACAAGUUUCCUGGAACGGAGCGUCAUAGAGGGUGAGAAUCCCGUCUUUGACACGGACCCCAAUGCUUUGUGAUGCGCUCUCAAAGAGUCGAGUUGUUUGGGAAUGCAGCUCAAAAUGGGUGGUGAAUUCCAUCUAAAGCUAAAUAUUGGCGAGAGACCGAUAGCGAACAAGUACCGUGAGGGAAAGAUGAAAAGCACUUUGGAAAGAGAGUUAAACAGUACGUGAAAUUGUUGAAAGGGAAACGCUUGAAGUCAGUCGCGUUGGCCGGGACUCAGCCUUGCAUCAGCAUGGUGUACUUUCCGGUCGACGGGCCAGCAUCAGUUUCGACCGCGAGAUAAAGGCAGAGGGAAUGUGGCUCUUUCGGGAGUGUUAUAGCCCUUCGUCGGAUGUCGUGGUUGGGACUGAGGAACUCAGCACGCCUUUAUGGCCGGGGUUCGCCCACGUACGUGCUUAGGAUGCUGGCGUAAUGGCUUUAAACGACCCGUCUUGAAACACGGACCAAGGAGUCUAACAUGCCUGCGAGUGUUCGGGUGGAAAACCCGUGCGCGUAAUGAAAGUGAAAGUUGGGAUCCCUGUCGUGGGGUGCACCGACGCCCGGACCAGACCUUUUGUGACGGAUCUGCGGUAGAGCAUGUAUGUUGGGACCCGAAAGAUGGUGAACUAUGCCUGAAUAGGGUGAAGCCAGAGGAAACUCUGGUGGA